UUUGUAGCAGCUUUAUUCUCUCCAGCACCCUCGAGUUUGGAGACAAAUCAAUAAAUUGAGCAGGAGCAGUGCGCAGAGACCAGAUGGUCCUCAUCCAGUGCUUGCAGGGGAAUGGAAAUGUGGAGCCAUGAAAUCACCAGGCUGCACCAACACUCAGAUCUGCCUGGGUGCAGGAGGAGCAGCAGGGAGGAGUUCCCAGCCCAGCCUUUGUGCCAGUGUGCAGCUGAAUCCAAACCUCACUCAGGACAGCGUAAAAUAAAUUCAGAACUUCUAUGACUUCACAAAAAAAGUGAAAUCUGGCACUUGGCAGAGGCAGAAGGAAACAUCUGGAUGCUUUUGAUCAAAGAUGUUUAAGGAAAAUGAGCCUGCAGAGCAUCAAGAAUGGCACAGUUUGAGAAAGAGAAAGGAAGAAUGAAACUCUCCUCAGCAGAAGUUGGGAUGUGAUUUCUGCAGUUUCCUGAGCACACAGAAGAGUGGAGAGGACCUUCUUUGCCCAUUUGCUAGAGAACAGUUGAUAUUACAUUUGACAAUCCUGUAAUCCAAUUUAUAUCCAGCUUGCUGCUGGCCACCUGUGAGCAAUUUUAUUCUGUGGCUUUUUGUUUUAAUCUUGAGAGCACUCAUUUGUCUGUGCAAGAUGAUUCCCUUGGACUGCCUCAGGAUCUUGGGCCCACCACAACAGCUGGGUGCUUAAUUCAGACCCUUGGAGUUACUGAAUCCUGAUUUUUUUGGUGGGAUUUUCAGUCUGUGGGAUGAAUCCUGCACUCAGAAAAUUGCUUUUCAUGCUGUGCUGUUUGCUGCCGUUGUCCUGUGAAGGUGAAGUUGUGUCCCAGUGCAUGCAAAAUGAAAAGUAAAGGAACCUGACUGGCUGACUGCUCCUUUAGACAGUAAAAUGAAACAGUCCUUAGCUUCUGGUAAUGGUAGCAGCAGUGUUUUCUUGAUUUAAUAAUCCAGACAAAAUGAUUUUGCUGUUUAAAUUCCAUUUUAGGGGGUUUGGGAGGGGAUGUUGUCUCCUGUAACAUGGUCCCGCUCCUCUGAUCUCCAGCUCAGGUAUUCACAUUUUCCCCUUUGUUUCAGUGCAGUGCCAAGGCCAGGGAUGCUG